UACGUAGGGUGCAAGCGUUGUCCGGAAUUAUUGGGCGUAAAGAGCUCGUAGGCGGUCUGUCACGUCUGCUGUGAAAACUCGGGGCUUAACCCCGGGCCUGCAGUGGGUACGGGCAGACUAGAGUGCGGUAGGGGAGACUGGAAUUCCUGGUGUAGCGGUGAAAUGCGCAGAUAUCAGGAGGAACACCGGUGGCGAAGGCGGGUCUCUGGGCCAUUACUGACGCUGAGGAGCGAAAGCGUGGGGAGCGAACAGG
rnacentral:rRNA from 1 species